rnacentral:rRNA from 1 species
AAACGGUAACAGGAUGUGCUUGCACAUCGCUGACGAGUGGCGGACGGGUGAGUAAUGCUUAGGGAUCUGCCUCUGUGUGGGGGAUAACUAUUGGAAACGAUAGCUAAUACCGCAUAAUGUUUACGGACCAAAGGGGGCGUUUGCUCCCGCGCAGAGAGGAACCUAAGUGAGAUUAGCUAGUUGGUAAGGUAAUGGCUUACCAAGGCGACGAUCUCUAGCUGUUCUGAGAGGAAGAUCAGCCACACUGGGACUGAGACACGGCCCAGACUCCUACGGGAGGCAGCAGUGGGGAAUAUUGCACAAUGGGGGGAACCCUGAUGCAGCCAUGCCGCGUGUGUGAAGAAGGCCUUCGGGUUGUAAAGCACUUUCAGUUGUGAGGAAAGGUUAGUAGUUAAUACCUGCUAGCUGUGACGUUAGCAACAGAAGAAGCACCGGCUAACUCCGUGCCAGCAGCCGCGGUAAUACGGAGGGUGCGAGCGUUAAUCGGAAUUACUGGGCGUAAAGCGCACGCAGGCGGUUUGUUAAGCUCAGAUGUGAAAGCCCCGAGCUCAACUUGGGAUGGUCAUUUAGAACUGGCAGACUAGAGUCUUGGAGA